rnacentral:sRNA from 1 species
CUUCUACUUUUCAACUUGGGCUGAAUGCGCCGAGUAGCAAGGGCAAACCCCUUUCACACCCCUUGCUUUCUGACACUCCCCUCUCUUGGACAGCAUUACCGCUACAUUGGCAAGACCACGGAUUACCGGGGAACCAUGAUCCCUAGUGAAGCCCCCUUGCUCCACCGCCAGGUCAAACUUGUGGAUCCUAUGGACAGGAAACCCACUGAGAUCGAGUGGAGAUUUACUGAAGCAGGAGAGCGGGUACGAGUCUCCACACGAUCAGGGAGAAUUAUCCCUAAACCCGAAUUUCCCAGAGCUGAUGGCAUCGUCCGUGAAACGUGGAUUGAUGGCCCCAAAGACACAUCAGUGGAAGAUGCUUUAGAAACAACCUAUGUGCCCCGUCUAAAGACACUGCAGGAGGAGGUGAUGGAGGCCAUGGGGAUCAAGGAGACCCGGAAAUACAAGAAGGUCUAUUGGUAUUGAGCCUGGGGCAGAGCAGCUCCUCCCCAACUUCUGUCCCAGCCUUGAAGGCUGAGGCCCCUCUUUUCCAGAUGCCAAUAAAGAGCAGUUCAUGAGUC